rnacentral:misc_RNA from 1 species
UUAAGUUCAGCGGGUAUCCCUACCUGAUCCGAGGUCAACCUGAAAAAAUUGGGGGUUGCUGGCUAGCACACACCCGGGUCUCCGAAGCGAGAAGAAUUACUACGCUUGAAGCCGAGUGGCGCCGCCACUGAUUUUAAGGCCUGCCGGGACCGGCAGAGCCCAAUACCAAGCAGAGCUUGAGGGUUGUAAUGACGCUCGAA